CCGUCCCUGAUAGUAGGAGAGUGAAAAGUGUGUGUGACGGGUGUGUGUGGUUGUCCACAAUGCUGUUUGCUUUGCAGAUGCAGCGGGUGGUGUAAAUGUCCAUGAUAGAGGGAAGAGAGACUCUGAUGAUCUUCUAAGUGGUCCUCACUAUCCUCAGUAGGGUCUUGCGCUCCGAGACUGUGCAGUUCCCAAACCAGGCAGUGAUGCAGCUGCUCGGGAUGCUCUCAAUGGUCCCUCUGUAGAACGUGGUCAGGAUGGGGGAGAAGCUUUCCUCAGCCUUCUCAGGAAGUAGAGAUGCUGCUGGGCUUUUUUGGUGAUGGGGCUGGAGGAGCCUUUCCUGUUUGCACAUACUUGGGUAUACACCAUGAAGUUAAAAAUCCUGAAUCGCAUUGACCUGGAUGCUUCAGCAAUAAUGUAAUACAUUCUCAAUAACUGAUAUGUUUAGGUUUUUUUGCUGUUUUUUUUUUUUGUUACUUAAACAGCAAAUACACAAUGUUGUGAUUGCAGCUUGAGAAACUCCAUGCCAUUGGAUACAAGGCUGUUCUGCUUCUUUGCAAGGAGACAAAAAGAAUGAAGUCAAGUGUGAAAUAUUAACCCCUCUGUGCACACUCUCCACCUAUGCCCAGGACUACCUUUAGAAGAUGGGUUCACUUUAUGAAUACCUUUGUGAAGUCCCCAAAAGAGAGCAAGCUUUUGGGAAUGUUGGGAAGAGCACAACACAUGCAUGUCAAGUCCCAGCUCACCACAUUUGCAAUUUGGCAUCCAGGAACCCACAGAAUUUGACUAGGAUGGAAACAGGAUUCCAGUGGCAAUGAUGACCAGCUGAUGACGCUGCGUCUCACACCCUGUGAUCCAUUGGAGAACACAAGCAACCCAGAGUAGGUGAGGACCACACAGGUGGAAGAGACAAGAACAUGCUGGUGGAGCCCAUGAGUAAUACAGAAGGGCAGGUGGAGGGGAUGAGCACUACAGAGGAGCAGGUGGAGC